AGAAAAUCAAGAAGAAAUUCAAAAAUCUCAAGUCUAAUCAAGAGUUGUUGCAUCGCCCAUGCUUGGGAUGAAUUUUGAAAUCAACAAUUUAGAUUUUGGUUUAUUCAAGAGAGGAAAAUAUGGAGGAUAUUAAUCAUGCUUCUUUGAUCAAUUCUCACCAGAAAGAAUUAUUAACACUCCUCACUCAUUGUGUUUAGGCUAGUAUAAUGCUCUCAAAUUGAAAUCGACCAUAAUUAACCACCAUAGGCUUG
rnacentral:lncRNA from 1 species